rnacentral:rRNA from 1 species
UAGCUAGUUGGUGAGGUAAAGGCUUACCAAGGCGACGAUCUGUAGCGGGUCUGAGAGGAUGAUCCGCCACACUGGAACUGAGACACGGUCCAGACUCCUACGGGAGGCAGCAGUGGGGAAUUUUGGACAAUGGGGGCAACCCUGAUCCAGCCAUGCCGCGUGAGUGAAGAAGGCCUUCGGGUUGUAAAGCUCUUUCGGCCGGGAAGAAAUCGCAUGGGCCAAUACCCUGUGUGGAUGACGGUACCGGAAUAAGAAGCACCGGCUAACUACGUGCCAGCAGCCGCGGUAAUACGUAGGGUGCGAGCGUUAAUCGGAAUUACUGGGCGUAAAGCGUGCGCAGGCGGUUUUGUAAGACAGGCGUGAAAUCCCCGGGCUUAACCUGGGAACUGCGUUUGUGACUGCAAGGCUAGAGUACGGCAGAGGGGGGUGGAAUUCCACGUGUAGCAGUAAAAUGCGUAGAGAUGUGGAGGAACACCAAUGGCGAAGGCAGCCCCCUGGGUCGAUACUGACGCUCAUGCACGAAAGCGUGGGUAGCAAACAGGAUUAGAUACCCUGGUAGUCCACGCCCUAAACUAUGUCAACUAGGUGUUGGGUGGGUAAAACCAUUUAGUACCGUAGCUAACGCGUGAAGUUGACCGCCUGGGGAGUACGGCCGCAAGGUUAAAACUCAAAGGAAUUGACGGGGACCCGCACAAGCGGUGGAUGAUGUGGAUUAAUUCGAUGCAACGCGAAAAACCUUACCUACCCUUGACAUGCCAGGAACUUGCCAGAGAUGGCUUGGUGCCCGAAAGGGAGCCUGGACACAGGUACUGCAUGGCUGUCGUCAGCUCGUGUCGUGAGAUGUCGGGUUAAGUCCCGCAACGAGCGCAACCCUUGUCGUUAAUUGCCAUCAUUUAGUUGGGCACUUUAACGAGACUGCCGGUGACAAACCGGAGGAAGGUGGGGAUGACGUCAAGUCCUCAUGGCCCUUAUGGGUAGGGCUUCACACGUCAUACAAUGGUCGGUACAAAGGGUUGCCAAGCCGCGAGGCGGAGCCAAUCCCAGAAAGCCGAUCGUAGUCCGGAUUGCAGGCUGCAACUCGCCUGCAUGAAGUCGGAAUCGCUAGUAAUCGUGGAUCAGCAUGUCACGGUGAAUACGUUCCCGGGUCAUGUACACACCGCCCGUCACACCAUGGGAGCGGGUUCCGCCAGAAGUAGGUAGCCUAACCGCAAGGGGGGCGCUUACCACGGCGGGGUUCGUGACUGGGGUGAAGUCGAAACAAGGUAGCCGUAGGGGAACCUGCGGCUG